GAUUGUAGUUUAUAUUCAUCAGUCCCUUGAAUCUUCUGACUAGAGCAAGAAAUGGCAAAUGGAGAUACAUUCAUUGGAAUGAAGAAAGGCAUCCUAACUCAAAAGCUACCCCAUACACAUCAGAAGAAACCAAAGAAUAGACACACAGAACACUCAAGAAGCUGAAAGACUUCAACUUUGGUGGAGAUAAUUAAAGCUGGAGAUGAAAAUUGACAGAGAACAAGAGUGGCAGG
rnacentral:misc_RNA from 1 species